rnacentral:rRNA from 1 species
AUUGAACGCUGGCGGCAGGCCUAACACAUGCAAGUCGAACGAGUGGCGGACGGGUGAGUAAUGUCUGGGAAACUGCCCGAUGGAGGGGGAUAACUACUGGAAACGGUAGCUAAUACAGCAUACCAUCGGAUGUGCCCAGAUGGGAUUAGCGCGUAGGUGGGGUAACGGCUCACCUAGGCGACGAUCCCUAGCUGGUCUGAGAGGAUGACCAGCCACACUGGAACUGAGACACGGGCCAGACACCUACGGGAGGCAGCAGUGGGGAAUAUUGCACAAUGGGCGCAAGCCUGAUGCAGCCAUGCCGCGUGUAUGAAGAAGGCCUUGGGGUGUUAAAGUACUUUCAGCGGGGAGGCGUUACUCGCAGAAGAAGCACCGGCUAACUCCGUGCCAGCAGCCGCGGUAAUAC